rnacentral:rRNA from 1 species
GACGAACGCUGGCGGCGUGCCUAACACAUGCAAGUCGAACGGAAAGGCCCUGCUUUUGCUCCUUGCUCGUUAGGCGAACGCGUGUGUAACACGUGAGUAUCCCCCCCUUGUCUUUCGGGUAACUUCAGGGAACUGGGGCUAAUACCCGGUAGGAGCUCCUGCUGCAUGGGGUGGGUUGGAAAGUUUCGGCUGUUGGGGAUGGACUCGAGGCUUCUCAGCUUGUUGGUGGGGUAGUGGCUUACCAAGGUUUCGACGGGUAGCCGGCCUGGGAGGGUGAACGGCGACAAGGCGACUGCGGGACGGCCCAGACUGGUACGGGCGGCAGUAGUGGGGAAUCUUGCGGAACGGGCGCAAGCGUGAUGCAGCGACGCCGCGUGCGGGAUGACGUCCUUCGGGGUGUAAACCGCUUUCGCAUGUGACGAAGAGGGAGUGACGGUAACGGGUAAAAAAGCACCGGCUAACUACGUG